UACGAAGGGGGCUAGCGUUGCUCGGAAUCACUGGGCGUAAAGCGCACGUAGGCGGAUCUUUAAGUCGGGGGUGAAAUCCUGGAGCUCAACUCCAGAACUGCCUUUGAUACUGAAGAUCUUGAGUUCGGGAGAGGUGAGUGGAACUGCGAGUGUAGAGGUGAAAUUCGUAGAUAUUCGCAAGAACACCAGUGGCGAAGGCGGCUCACUGGCCCGAUACUGACGCUGAGGCACGAAAGCGUGGGGAGCAAACAGG
rnacentral:rRNA from 1 species